rnacentral:rRNA from 1 species
AGUGAACGCUGGCGGUAUGCCUAACACAUGCAAGUCGAACGGCAGCACAGUAAGAUCUUGCUCUUACGGGUGGCGAGUGGCGGACGGGUGAGGAAUACAUCGGAAUCUACUUUUUCGUGGGGGAUAACGUGGGGAAACUUACGCUAAUACCGCAUACGACCUACGGGUGAAAGCAGGGGAUCUUCGGACCUUUCGCGAUUGAAUGAGCCGAUGUCGGAUUAGCUAGUUGGCUGGGUAAAGGCCCACCAAGGCGAAGAUCCGUAGCUUGUCUGACAGGAUGAUUCGCCACACUGGAACUGAGACAAGGGCCAGACUCCUAAGGGAGGCAGCAGUGGGGAAUAUUGGACAAUGGGCGCAAGCCUGAUCCAGCCAUAGCGCGUGGGUGAAGAAGGCCUUCGGGUUGUAAAGCCCUUUUGUUGGGAAAGAAAAGCAGCAGGUUAAUACCCCGCUGUUCUGACGGUACCCAAAGAAUAAGCACCGGCUAACUUCGUG